GCUGCAUUUGGUACAUAAGGUUCUGCUAAAUGCUGUUAGGAAAGCACUGUGAUACGGCUUAAAUUUCUCACUCUACCCCUCAAUCAAUACAAGAGGCAACGUUUCAUCUCUGGGGCCACUAAUGGCAGGAAUUGCUGGAGCCAGCAAAUGAGUAACGCUAGACCUCUGAUUAGAUGAUGAGGCCAUCAAAAACCUCAUGUUACACUGAGCUUUAUUCGAGUGAACUGCACAAAGCCAAAGGUGAAGGAAGCAAUGUAACAUUUUCCUUCUUAAACAAGAACCUAAAAAAAUGGACAUGUCAUGAAGCUCAAAGACCACAUGGAAGAAACUCCCUUGGAUCCAGGACUUUACGAUUAAACUACUGAUCCUCAAUGUUUCAGCCAAGAGAUGGUCUGAAGUCAGAACCCCGCUGAGGAACCUUUCCAACGAGACAUUUUUCCUUAACAAGCCUAACCGUUAUUAUCUGGACUAAAAUGAAGUGAAAUCACGUACUUAUGGGCGAAGCGGAGUAAUGGCAAUCUACAGGUAUACAAACGGCAGGCACCAUUAUACCGCUAUGAAUACAGUACGGACGGACUGAUGAGUGGAAGCAAGACGGAGUGUUGGCCAGAUGGAGCGUAUUAAUUACAUGCCUAGGUAAACAGCAGAGUCCUCUGGCAUGGGGGCCACCGUCUGCACUGCAGGGAGAUUUUUGCUUGUAGCACCAUUUACAAAACUAGAUGAUGACGAGGAAGAGGAGGAAGCAGAAUCAACAGCACCUGUAUCGGAGACAGACAAUUGUAUUAAAACAUGAGCGGCAA